rnacentral:rRNA from 1 species
AAAUUGAAGAGUUUGAUCAUGGCUCAGAUUGAACGCUGGCGGCAGGCCUAACACAUGCAAGUCGAACGGUAACAGGAAUCAGCUUGCUGAUUCGCUGACGAGUGGCGGACGGGUGAGUAAUGUCUGGGAAACUGCCUGAUGGAGGGGGAUAACUACUGGAAACGGUAGCUAAUACCGCAUAACGUCGCAAGACCAAAGAGGGGGACCUUCGGGCCUCUUGCCAUCGGAUGUGCCCAGAUGGGAUUAGCUAGUAGGUGGGGUAACGGCUCACCUAGGCGACGAUCCCUAGCUGGUCUGAGAGGAUGACCAGCCACACUGGAACUGAGACACGGUCCAGACUCCUACGGGAGGCAGCAGUGGGGAAUAUUGCACAAUGGGCGCAAGCCUGAUGCAGCCAUGCCGCGUGUAUGAAGAAGGCCUUCGGGUUGUAAAGUACUUUCAGCGGGGAGGAAGGGAGUAAAGUUAAUACCUUUACU